rnacentral:rRNA from 1 species
UACGUAGGGUGCAAGCGUUGUCCGGAAUUAUUGGGCGUAAAGAGCUCGUAGGCGGUCUGUCGCGUCGGCUGUGAAAACCCGGGGCUCAACCCCGGGCCUGCAGUCGAUACGGGCAGACUAGAGUGCGGUAGGGGAGACUGGAAUUCCUGGUGUAGCGGUGGAAUGCGCAGAUAUCAGGAGGAACACCGGUGGCGAAGGCGGGUCUCUGGGCCGUUACUGACGCUGAGGAGCGAAAGCGUGGGGAGCGAACAGG